rnacentral:rRNA from 1 species
GUGACCGAUAGUGAACCAGUACCGUGAGGGAAAGGUGAAAAGCACCCCGGAAGGGGAGUGAAAUAGAUCCUGAAACCGUGUGCCUACAAGUAGUCAGAGCCCGUUAAAGGGUGAUGGCGUGCCUUUUGUAGAAUGAACCGGCGAGUUACGAUCCCGUGCAAGGUUAAGCAGAAGAUGCGGAGCCGCAGCGAAAGCGAGUCUGAAUAGGGCGCAUGAGUACGUGGUCGUAGACCCGAAACCAGGUGAUCUACCCAUGUCCAGGGUGAAGUUCAGGUAACACUGAAUGGAGGCCCGAACCCACGCACGUUGAAAAGUGCGGGGAUGAGGUGUGGGUAGGGGUGAAAUGCCAAUCGAACCUGGAGAUAGCUGGUUCUCUCCGAAAUAGCUUUAGGGCUAGCCUCAAGGUAAGAGUCUCGGAGGUAGAGCACUGAUUGGACUAGGGGCCCCUACCGGGUUACCGAAUUCAGUCAAACUCCGAAUGCCGAUGACUUAUCCUUGGGAGUCAGACUGCGAGUGAUAAGAUCCGUAGUCGAAAGGGAAACAGCCCAGACCGCCAGCUAAGGUCCCAAAGUAUACGUUAAGUGGAAAAGGAUGUGGAGUUGCUUAGACAACCAGGAUGUUGGCUUAGAAGCAGCCACCAUUUAAAGAGUGCGUAAUAGCUCACUGGUCGAGUGACUCUGCGCCGAAAAUGUACCGGGGCUAAACGUAUCACCGAAGCUGCGGACUGUUCUAACGAACAGUGGUAGGAGAGCGUUCUAAGUGCUGUGAAGUCAGACCGGAAGGACUGGUGGAGCGCUUAGAAGUGAGAAUGCCGGUAUGAGUAGCGAAAGACGGGUGAGAAUCCCGUCCACCGAAUGCCUAAGGUUUCCUGAGGAAGGCUCGUCCGCUCAGGGUUAGUCGGGACCUAAGCCGAGGCCGAAAGGCGUAGGCGAUGGACAACAGGUUGAUAUUCCUGUACCACCUCCUCACCAUUUGAGCAAUGGGGGGACGCAGGAGGAUAGGGUAAGCGCGGUAUUGGAUAUCCGCGUCCAAGCAGUUAGGCUGGGAAAUAGGCAAAUCCGUUUCCCGUGAAGGCUGAGCUGUGAUGGCGAGCGAAAUUUAGUAGCGAAGUUCCUGAUUCCACACUGCCAAGAAAAGCCUCUAGCGAGGUGAGAGGUGCCCGUACCGCAAACCGACACAGGUAGGCGAGGAGAGAAUCCUAAGGUGAUCGAGAGAACUCUCGUUAAGGAACUCGGCAAAAUGACCCCGUAACUUCGGGAGAAGGGGUGCUUCUUAGGGUGUUAAAGCCCCGAGAAGCCGCAGUGAAUAGGCCCAGGCGACUGUUUAGCAAAAACACAGGUCUCUGCGAAGCCGUAAGGCGAAGUAUAGGGGCUGACGCCUGCCCGGUGCUGGAAGGUUAAGAGGAGCGCUUAGCGUAAGCGAAGGUGCGAAUUGAAGCCCCAGUAAACGGCGGCCGUAACUAUAACGGUCCUAAGGUAGCGAAAUUCCUUGUCGGGUAAGUUCCGACCCGCACGAAAGGCGCAACGAUCUGGGCACUGUCUCAACGAGAGACUCGGUGAAAUUAUAGUACCUGUGAAGAUGCAGGUUACCCGCGACAGGACGGAAAGACCCCGUGGAGCUUUACUGCAGCCUGAUAUUGAAUGUUGGUACAGCUUGUACAGGAUAGGUAGGAGCCUUGGAAACCGGAGCGCUAGCUUCGGUGGAGGCAUCGGUGGGAUACUACCCUGGCUGUAUUGACCUUCUAACCCGCUGCCCUUAUCGGGCAGGGAGACAGUGUCAGGUGGGCAGUUUGACUGGGGCGGUCGCCUCCUAAAAUGUAACGGAGGCGCCCAAAGGUUCCCUCAGAAUGGUUGGAAAUCAUUCGCAGAGUGUAAAGGCACAAGGGAGCUUGACUGCGAGACCUACAAGUCGAGCAGGGACGAAAGUCGGGCUUAGUGAUCCGGUGGUUCCGCAUGGAAGGGCCAUCGCUCAACGGAUAAAAGCUACCCCGGGGAUAACAGGCUUAUCUCCCCCAAGAGUCCACAUCGACGGGGAGGUUUGGCACCUCGAUGUCGGCUCAUCGCAUCCUGGGGCUGUAGUCGGUCCCAAGGGUUGGGCUGUUCGCCCAUUAAAGCGGUACGCGAGCUGGGUUCAGAACGUCGUGAGACAGUUCGGUCCCUAUCCGUCGCGGGCGCAGGAAAUUUGAGAGGAGCUGUCCUUAGUACGAGAGGACCGGGAUGGACGCACCGCUGGUGUACCAGUUGUUCUGCCAAGGGCAUCGCUGGGUAGCUAUGUGCGGACGGGAUAAGUGCUGAAAGCAUCUAAGCAUGAAGCCCCCCUCAAGAUGAGAUUUCCCAUUCCGCAAGGAAGUAAGAUCCCUGAAAGAUGAUCAGGUUGAUAGGUCUGAGGUGGAAGCGUGGUGACACGUGGAGCUGACAGAUACUAAUAGAUCGAGGACUUAACCUAUA